rnacentral:rRNA from 1 species
UGGGGAAUAUUGCACAAUGGGCGAAAGCCUGAUGCAGCAACGCCGCGUGAGUGAUGAAGGCCUUCGGGUUGUAAAGCUCUGUCUUUUGGGACGAUAAUGACGGUACCAAAGGAGGAAGCCACGGCUAACUACGUGCCAGCAGCCGCGGUAAUACGUAGGUGGCAAGCGUUGUCCGGAUUUACUGGGCGUAAAGGAUGCGUAGGCGGAUUUUUAAGUGAGAUGUGAAAAACCCUAAGCUUAACUUGGGGACUGCAUUUCAUACUGGAAAUCUAGAGUGCGGGAGAGGAGAAUGGAAUUCCUAGUGUAGCGGUGAAAUGCGUAGAGAUUAGGAAGAACACCAGUGGCGAAGGCGAUUCUCUGGACCGUAACUGACGCUGAGGCAUGAAAGCGUGGGUAGCAAAACAGGAUUAGAUACCCUGGUAGUCCACGCCGUAAACGAUGAGUACUAGGUGUAGGAGGUAUCGACCCCUUCUGUGCCGCAGUUAACACAAUAAAGUACUCCGCCUGGGAAGUACGAUCGC